UGAGGACCCGUAGAGCUAGGAACUGUCCAACGGCCAGGGCAAUUGCGCUGUUAAACGAAUUUCUGUCCGAAAUCCAGGAUGCCGACGUAUUUGCCGAUAGUUGGGGAAUACUUUAUUCCAAAAUAAUUUUAUUUUUAGCAUAAUAUUAUAAUAGUACUUAAUAAUUUCAAUAAUAUUUUUGUGUUAUGUAACGUAAUGUUACAACAAACUAGCAAAAUAAAAAGAUAAAAAAAAAACCUUAAAACAAAAGUAUUUAUGUUCAAAGCAGUUAUUUUAUCGACUGUACCGCUGAGGUGAGAACAAUAGUUCCCACCUCCCCCCGAGACGUAGGUUCAGCUGGCGCAGACACUGCGCAGCCGCCGGCAGUCGUCACUAGACUUCCUUAUUAGUCUUACGUUUGUAUUCGAGUUCAGUUAAAGUUCGUUUUCAAACCUAGACGACUUACCUACAAAUAAUUUAUUUAAAAAAUAUAUUUAGUACAGCAAUAUCGUGUGCUGUUUAAUAUUAACACGAUUAAAAUAAACGGAUUCGACCCCGCUUUUAGGGGUUCAUGCCUUGCUGCCUUUCACGCUUCUUGCUUCGCUUGAUAAUCUGCGUCUGUGCUGAAAAGGUCAUCUCCGCACAGUAACCCGUACCCUGGUGAUCUAGCCAGCCCAGGAAACCUCCAGGAGUCCAGACGUGGUGCUUCAGCGGGUCAACCCACGUCCGUUGGCUGCCGGAAUUCAGGAGGGUAACCUACAGAGGGAGAGUCAGAUCGGCCGUACAACCACACCCUACAAAUUUGUGUGCUCAACUGCCUGUUUUUUUUUGUAAUAUAUAUUCUUUUAACUGAGA